rnacentral:tRNA from 1 species
GGAAAUGUGCCCGAGAAUUUAAGGAUUACUUUGAUAGAGUAAAAUACAGGGACACCAUAACCCUCAUUUCC